rnacentral:rRNA from 1 species
AUAUAGGUCAAGCUACAAAGGGCGCAUGGUGAAUGCCUUGGCAUCAGGAGCCGAUGAAGGACGUGAUAAGCUGCGAUAAGCUUCGGGUAGGCGCACAUAGCCUGAGAUCCGAAGAUCUCCGAAUGAGGAAACUCACAUGGGAAACCCCAUGUAUCAUUAAGUGAAUACAUAGCUUAAUGAAGGUAACCCAGGGAACUGAAACAUCUAAGUACCUGGAGGAAGAGAAAGAAAAAUCGAUUUUCUUAGUAGCGGCGAGCGAAAGGGAAAGAGCCCAAACCGGAAACUUGUUUCCGGGGUUGUGGACAUAGCAUAAAAGUGGAGGCUAUUGUAACUGAAGAGAACUGGAAAGUUCCACCGUAGAAGGUAAUAGUCCUGUAAGUGAAACGAGAAGACCACGAGUUAUGAUCCAGAGUACCACGAGACACGUGAAACCUUGUGGGAAGCAGGGAGGACCACCUCCCAAGGCUAAAUACUACCUGAUGACCGAUAGUGAAGCAGUACCGUGAGGGAAAGGUGAAAAGAACCCCGGGAGGGGAGUGAAAUAGAACCUGAAACCGUGUGCCUACAACCGCUCAGAGCCCCUUAUGAGGGUGAUGAGGUGCUUUUUGUAGAACGAGCCAACGAGUUACGGUAUGUAGCAAGGUUAAGUACUUAAGGUACGGAGCCGAAGGGAAACCGAGUCUGAAUAGGGCGACUAGUUGCAUGCCGUAGACCCGAAACCGGGUGACCUAUCCAUGGCCAGGUUGAAGCGAGGGUAAAACCUCGUGGAGGACCGAACCACGUUGCUGUUGAAAAAGCAUGGGAUGAGCUGUGGAUAGCGGAGAAAUUCCAAUCGAACCCGGAGAUAGCUGGUUCUCUCCGAAAUAGCUUUAGGGCUAGCGUCGAGUAUGAGUAGUGGAGGUAGAGCACUGAAUGGGCUAGGGGCAUAGCGCUUACCGAACCUUAUCAAACUCCGAAUGCCACAUACUUUGAGCUCGGCAGUCAGACUACGAAUGAUAAGAUCCGUGGUCAAAAGGGAAACAGCCCAGAUCGUCAGCUAAGGUCCCAAAGUGUAAGUUAAGUGGGAAAGGAUGUGAGAUUUCUAAGACAACUAGGAUGUUGGCUUAGAAGCAGCCAUUCAUUAAAAGAGUGCGUAAUAGCUCACUAGUCGAGAGAUCUUGCGCCGAAAAUGUAACGGGGCUAAACUUACCACCGAAGCUACGGGCUUGAACUUAGUUCAAGCGGUAGGAGAGCGUCGUAACCGGGCUGAAGUCGUACCGUAAGGAGCGGUGGACUGGUUACGAGUGAGAAUGUUGGCAUCAGUAGCGAGAUGUGGGUGAGAAUCCCACAGGCCGAAAACCUAAGGUUUCCUCAGGAAGGUUCGUCCGCUGAGGGUUAGUCGGGACCUAAGCCGAGGCCGAAAGGCGUAGGUGAUGGACAACUGGUUGAUAUUCCAGUACCACUACCAUCGUUAUUAUCGAUGGCGUGACGCAGGAGGAUAGUGUGUGCUAGCUAUUGGAUGCUAGUCUAAGCGUUUAGGCAGUGAGAGUAGGCAAAUCCGCUCUCAUAAUGCUGAGGCGUGAUGGGGAAGGUUCUACGGAACCGAAGUACAUGAUUCCACGCUGCCAAGAAAAGCGUCUAGAGAGAGAAGUAGUGCCCGUACCGCAAACCGACACAGGUAGGUGAGGAGAGAAUCCUAAGGCCUGCGGAAGAAUUACAGUUAAGGAACUCGGCAAAUUGACCCCGUAAGUUCGCGAGAAGGGGUGCCUACGAGAGUAGGCCGCAGAGAAUAGGCCCAAGCAACUGUUUAGCAAAAACACAGGUCUCUGCUAAAGCGUAAGCUGAUGUAUAGGGGCUGACGCCUGCCCGGUGCUGGAAGGUUAAGGGGAACACUUAGCGCAAGCGAAGGUGUGAACUUAAGCCCCAGUAAACGGCGGCCGUAACUAUAACGGUCCUAAGGUAGCGAAAUUCCUUGUCAGGUAAGUUCUGACCCGCACGAAUGGCGUAAUGACUUGGGCACUGUCUCAACUGUAAAUCCGGCGAAGUUGUAGUGCGAGUGAAGAUGCUCGCUACCCGCGAUUGGACGGAAAGACCCCGUAGAGCUUUACUGUAGCUUAGCAUUGAGUUUUGGUAUUGUCUGUACAGGAUAGGUGGGAGACUAGGAAACCAGGGCGUCAGCCUUGGUGGAGUCAACCUUGGGAUACCACCCUGACAGUACUGAAAUUCUAACUGGCGGCCAUGAAUCUGGUCACAGGACAUUGUUAGGUGGGCAGUUUGACUGGGGCGGUCGCCUCCUAAAAAGUAACGGAGGCGCCCAAAGGUUCCCUCAGAACGGUCGGAAAUCGUUCGAAGAGUGCAAAGGCAGAAGGGAGCCUGACUGCGACACCCACAAGUGGAGCAGGGACGAAAGUCGGGCUUAGUGAUCCGGUGGUACCUCGUGGGAGGGCCAUCGCUCAACGGAUAAAAGCUACCUCGGGGAUAACAGGCUGAUCUCCCCAAGAGUCCACAUCGACGGGGAGGUUUGGCACCUCGAUGUCGGCUCGUCGCAUCCUGGGGCUGAAGUAGGUCCCAAGGGUUGGGCUGUUCGCCCAUUAAAGCGGCACGCGAGCUGGGUUCAGAACGUCGUGAGACAGUUCGGUCCCUAUCCGUCGCGGGCGUAGGAAAUUUGAGAGGAGCUGUCCUUAGUACGAGAGGACCGGGAUGGACUGACCUCUGGUGUACCAGUUGUUCCGCCAGGAGCACAGCUGGGUAGCUAAGUCGGGAAUGGAUAAACGCUGAAAGCAUCUAAGCGUGAAGCCAACCUCAAGAUGAGAUUUCCCAUAGCGUAAGCUAGUAAGAUCCCUUGAAGAACACAAGGUUGAUAGGUCGGGGGUGUAAGCAUGGUAACAUGUUCAGCUGACCGAUACUAAUAGAUCGAGGGCUUGACCAAAU